GAUAUACAUUCAUACAGAAAACCAAGAAACUGUACCAAGACACUCGUACGCAACGAAAUAUCGCCAAGCUGAAUGAUGAACUCUACGAGGUCCACCAGAUAAUGACGCGGAAUGUGCAGGAAGUUCUAGGUGUUGGUGAAAAGCUGGACCAGGUGAGCGAGAUGUCGAGCCGGCUAACUUCUGAAUCUCGUGUAUAUGCUGAUAAGGCUAAAGAUUUGAACCGUCAGGCUUUGAUCAGGAAAUGGGCACCAGUAGCGAUCGUGUUGGGUGUCGUUUUCCUUCUUUUCUGGGUCAAGAACAAGCUCUGGUAAAGAAAGGAGGAACAUAUAAGGCUAUUUUCGUAAUCUAGCAGACUUCUCCGGUCCAUAUAUCAGACUGCCGGCGCAAAUCCUCUUUCUUUCAGAGUGAAACUUUGACACAUUUUGUACUUCUGUAGUUAUGCAAACUUUAUGAGACUGGGUCAUAGAAUCAUCCACCAAUACAUUUUGUAAACCUUGAUUAUCAUUUUAUCAGGUUCUUCAAAUCAAA